CCAGGAAGUCAGGAGGAUGAGCUGGUGCUAUUGUCAGGAAAAAGAUAACAGAACACUAUUCCCCAUCCUUGAGAACAUGACAGCAGAAAAGAUUGGUUUCUAAGAAGAGUUUUCCUUGAAGCUCUGGCUCCAUAACUUACGACCAUUUCAGGACACUUGCUCAUUCCUGGACUUUGGCUGAAGAAGCAGCCCCUGUCUAGGUCAUUGUUAGUCUUCUGGCAGAGGAAAUAGAAGGCAAUAGAAGACGUAUGUGAUGGCUCUUACAGCUUCUAUUAGAAAUGGAAUGUAUCACUUUCUUUCACAUUUCUCUGGCCAAAGUAAGUUAUGUGGCAAGCCUGCCAGAGGUGUGAGCAGUGCCAUGCUUCUGCAGGGAGGGCGUUUGGAGUAAGAGGACCCAGGGGGAGGGUCUUCUGUUUUUUGGUUUUGGUCGCAUGAAUCCUUAGC
rnacentral:lncRNA from 1 species